rnacentral:lncRNA from 1 species
UGAGAACCGAACACGAGAUGAUGAGUACAUACAGGAGGACGAGGAGUAUGUGGAGACCGCAUUACCGAGAGCGCAGAUAAGAGGUCAGAGAGAUGUAUACUCGGACUCUGCACGGGCCUACGUACGGACCUCAAGAGCACCAACUGCGAUUGGCAAUCAGAAUAACAGAGACAUUAAUACAAACACAACAUACAACAGAGACACACACAACACAUACUACGGAGACAGCGAUAGAGUAAAUCGCUUCCCCCCUAGAAGAGAGGGACAGGGGGCGCGGCAAAGGUAUUUUCAGCAGUCUAGAAAUGACAAUUCAGAGGAACCCAAUUACACGCCACCAUCUUCCGGGCUGAAAUUGGCGAUGAAGUUGAUGUACGACCUGACACGCACAGUACAUCACUUGCAAAAAAUCAGCACAAAAAUCACUGACAAUACCCCUUUUGCCUUUAGAAAAUUAGCCCAGUUUUUGACUGACACAGUGAAGCCGGCUGCUCCAACCGGAAAGACGAAGGAACUGUUGGAGGGAAAUGCGAGGAACUGGGUUUACAAUACUCAAUUAAUCCUAGAGGAACACUAUGAGACACAGAUACAACAAAACAUCACCGAACUGAAGGAAAGAACAGACCAAAGUGAUUGGCGCCGAGCCUUUGAGGUGGCGUGCAAUUGGGCCAGAAAGAAUUUUCGAAACAGAAUACACGAGGAAGUGUUUGAAAAAACUGAAGCACUCUUCUUGGCACAUAUGAGCACGGAAUCAACCCGAAGGGGAGACGAAGAAACAGAGAGACCAUUGAUAGAUACAGUAACGGCCUCCCCUCGGGCACAAACAUCGAAACAGACCACAGAAAAAUCACAAACGGCCAGACCAGGUAGGGAAGCUGUAGACGCACAGACUUCGCCUAUUAGUGUGCGACAGAGGUCUCCUCGUACGCCCGAGCGCAGGGGUGACUGGUCCUUUGAUCAGGAUGAAUUUCCACUGUUGGGACCACCGGCCAUCCUGCCCACUCCUAGUAGACCCCUGGAACCUUUAGAACAGAGAAGUUCAACACGGCCAAAACCCCGUAGGAUCUUUACGGAGUCAUUGGUGAAUGUAGAAGAAUCAGAGGAACUAGAAGGAGAGCUAGCC